rnacentral:rRNA from 1 species
AACGAACGCUGGCGGCAUGCCUAACACAUGCGAGUCGAACGAGACCUUCGGGUCUAGUGGCGCACGGGUGCGUAACGCGUGGGAACCUGCCCUUAGGUUCGGAAUAACUCCCCGAAAGGGGUGCUAAUACCGGAUAAUGUCUUCGGACCAAAGAUUUAUCGCCUUUGGAUGGGCCCGCGUUGGAUUAGCUAGUUGGUAGGGUAAAAGCCUACCAAGGCGACGAUCCAUAGCUGGUCUGAGAGGAUGAUCAGCCACACUGGGACUGAGACACGGCCCAGACUCCUACGGGAGGCAGCAGUGGGUAAUAUUGGACAAUGGGCGAAAGCCUGAUCCAGCAAUGCCGCGUGAGUGAUGAAGGUCUUAGGGUUGUAAAGCUCUUUUACCCGGGAUGAUAAUGACAGUACCGGGAGAAUAAGCUCCGGCUAACUCCGUG